GGCCUGAUGGAGAGGCGGCUGCCCACCUUGAGCCAGAGCAGAUGCGGGAGCUGCGGUGUGAGAACGUCGCCACCUGCCUGGGCAUUUUCGUGAUCUCUGGGGAACCUGCUUCGGAAAGAGGUCCUGCACCUAGACUGGACCUUCAAGGCCUCCCUGCUGCUGGAUUUGAUCUGCAUGAGAUCCCUCCCUGGGCCUGGCACUGCAGGGAAGUGGGGAUGGCAGGGAGACAGGAGAUGCUCAGAUUUCCCACAGCUGGGCUCUUUCAGCUUUGUCUAAUCCAGGGAUAUCCAAACUGCAUGGCCACGGGUACAGGGAGGCAGGAAGGCUUUCUGGGGCUUGUGGGAAUUCCGAGAGAACCAGGUUUCCUCUCAUUCGUUACAGAUCCAAUGGACCCCCAUUAUGUCCAUCUCAGGGCAUGAGGUAUCUGCACCACCACCAUUUCCCUCCUGGCUGCCUCAAGUUCCAAAACUGUGUGGUGGACAGAUGCUUUGUGCUCAAGGUCACUGACCAUGGUUAUGCAGAGCCCCUGGACACUUAGCAGGAUCCCCAACCCUGGCCAGCCCCAGAAGGUCAGCUCAGGGAUAGGCAGGGGGCUGCCAGUAGGUUUGGGGGCCUCUGUUUAACCAGGUGCUUGUAAGGUGCAGGGAGAGGGAGAUCUCCAGUCCUCUGGUAUUGGUGACCUUGAGUUGAUCGCUUCUCCUCUCUGAACAAGCUGUAGGCUCUUUACCUGUGAAUUGGGGAGAAUACAUGCACCCAGCCUGGCUUGGGUGGUCAGCAGGUAAUGGUGGCAUGGCCCUGCCCUAUGAUUGCAGAGCUGCUAUGGACAGCUCCU
rnacentral:lncRNA from 10 species